UUGGAGGGCAAGUCUGGUGCCAGCAGCCGCGGCAAUUCCAGCUCCAAUAGCGUAUAUUAAAGUUGUUGCAGUUAAAAAGCUCGUAGUUGAAUUUCGGGAUCAGAUUGUCGGUCGUGCCUCGGUACGCACUGGUAUUAUUGGUUCCUACCUUCUGAAGAACCGCGAUGUCAUUAAUUUGGUGUCGUGGGGAAUCAGGACUGUUACUUUGAAAAAAUUAGAGUGUUUAAAGCAGGCUUACGCUCGAAUACAUUAGCAUGGAAUAAUGAAAUAGGACGUUUGAUUCUAUUUUGUUGGUUUCUAGGAUUGACGUAAUGAUUAAUAGGGAUAGUUGGGGGCAUUAGUAUUCAAUUGUCAGAGGUGAAAUUCUUGGAUUUAUUGAAGACUAACUACUGCGAAAGCAUUUGCCAAGGAUGUUUUCAUUAAUCAAGAACGAAAGUUAGGGGAUCGAAGACGAUCAGAUACCGUCGUAGUCUUAACCAUAAACUAUGCCGACUAGGGAUCGGAUGAUGUUAAUUUUUUAAUGACUCAUUCGGCGCCUUACGGGAAACCAAAGUGUUUGGGUUC
rnacentral:rRNA from 1 species